ACAGGAAAAGAGCUCAGAGAGAAAAAUGGCGAAACGUUUCAAGUUUCGAAUCUGCCGCGUCUUUCAAUCUUGCCGAUCCAAAGACCCCUCCGCGCUUCCCUCAAACCCAGUCCCCUCCUUCCUGCCACCCACACCUCCCAAACCCCCUCGCUCCUCCCUCAAGCGCCACGUUACUUAUGCGUUUGAAUCUGUCGGCUGCGUCUUCAGAUCAAGGCCCACCCUCUCCGACGCCGAUGACUGUCAUCACGAACCCCAAGUCUUCCGCUGGGAACAGCAAGACAAAUGGCACGUGGUCGCCAAGGUCUGCGCCCCCGACAACUGUACAACACCUCGCCGCAAAAUCUACAGUUCCUCGGUCUCCGGUGCCUCCGAUGACGAUGACGACGUCUUGCCUCUCCCGCCGCCACCUCGUGUGAGGAAGAAGAAAGGACGGGUCAAGAAGAAGAAAACAACGCCCAGGUUUCGCAUGAGCACCUCCUCCGCUGACAGCUGUGGAUUGUUUAGCAGCGAUGGCUACGACGAUAUGGACGAAGAAGAAACAGAAACCCUAGUUUCGUCUUCUAGGAGCUUCUCCACGGACUCUUCUUCCUUCGAGUUGAACCCUCAGUUGGAGAGCAUUUGCGAGACGCCAAGUCAGCACCAUCGAGUUAUGAAGAUCAAGCCAAAUUCAAAAAAGAAGAAGAACAAGAAGAAGAACAAGAAGAACAAGAAAGACAGAAGAGCGAGCUGUUCAUCGUCGCCGGCGAGGGUGUCGAUGUUAUUACGGCUGGUACCAUGCAGCGUGGAGGGGAAGGUGAGGGACAGCUUUGCGGUGGUGAAGAGAUCGGAGGAUCCUUACGAGGAUUUCAGGAGGUCGAUGAUGGAGAUGAUUUUGGAGAAGCAGAUUUUUGAGGACACGGAUUUGGAGCAGCUCUUACAUUGCUUCUUGUCUCUUAAUUCCAGCGAACAUCAUGGGGUUAUUGUCCAGGUUUUCGCUGAGAUUUGGCAGGCUUUGUUCACUGCUGCACCAGCAACAUUUAGAGAAUGAAAUGUAACUCCCACGUUCUACAGCAGUAUUUUAAGUUUCAUUAUCAUUUUAUUAUUGUAACUUCUCGUCCAAGGAUGAAACCGAUUAUCGGAGGACUCGACGAAGAUUAUGGAGCAUGGGGUA